rnacentral:tRNA from 1 species
GGUCUCGUAGCUCAGUUGGUUAGAGCGUUGGCUGUACUAAAGCUUUCCCCUUACUGGCGUGGGUUCGAAUCGCACCGAGACCG